rnacentral:lncRNA from 1 species
CCAGCAGGGACGUUGGUCCAGCGUGGCCCUCCCAGGCCAGCCCAGGGAUUUACGCUCCGCCCUGGCUCUGCAAGCCCUUUGUGAGUCUCUGGUGGCCAGCUCAGAAUGACCAAAGCAGGGCGGGCUUUCUAUGGUCAUUUCUUUACCGCACAUGACAUAAACCACCCGAGAGCCCCAGUGAACGGCAGGAGAAAUGAACAUCUUUGGGAAAGUUUGGUGGAAAACCAGCCCGUAGAGCCGUGAGAGACACAGGAUUCACUUUUGGCACUCUCGCCUGGCUCAGCCACCUGGAAUCAAGGAAGACAGCACAGUGCUGACCCCACGCUCCUGCCAAUGCUCACUUCCUCCCCUGGGGUCAUUUCCCAGGAGCAGAGCUGCAGGCCGGGGCCUCUGUCUGCCUGUGGUAGGCACCCACACUCAUUCUCAUCUGGUUCCUUGUAAGUCUUCUAUUGCAAAAUCUUCUCAGGACUUGGAGACAUGCUAUUCUCGGUUUCCCCAAUAACAAAAUGAAAGUGCAAAGGUGCCGUGUCAGCAGGUGGGCCGUGGACUUCGCACCUGGGUGAUGGUGAACCUGCCUCCAAAAUUGCCAUGGGUCCAAAGAGGCGCCAAUUCCUGGCAAAACUGAUGACAUUUAUGAAUUUUAUUUCUGGUUGCAACCUGAUUUUGUUAUGGACCUAUACUGACGUCAGUAAUAAACAAUAAUAAGAUUGUAAACUAUU